UGACCGGAGUAGGAAUAAACGGUUCGCGGAGCUGGCUGGGCGAGGAAACGGGCGCCGCAGCAGGGAAGUCCGACGCGGAGGAGACUGCCGGUCCAUGGAGCGAGACGGGAGCAGCUAGGGAGGAGACCUGGGAACCAAUCUGCUCCAUACGGGCUCCCAGCUCCGACAUGCCGACGGAGAAACCUCGAAGAACCUCGGAAAAGUCCUGUAACGCGGCGUCGUGUUUACCGAUCCUCGUGCCCUGCGAGGAUAGCGCCUGCCGAACCUUGUCUGACUCCGCGGCGUCCAUGUUGGCCAGAUUAUUCUGUUACGAUUGGCGAAAAGGUUGGUUUGGACCCCGGAUGCAGAGACAGAGACAGUACGGACAAUCCACGGUUUAUUGUCAACAAAGGAGAACUCAAAAGAUAACCAGCGGGCAAGGCGAAGACAGGAGCGGGUAGGCGUCGUAGAGUGUUGCGGUCCGGGGGUAAUCCACUGGCGAGGAACUGGCAACUGGCGAAAGAUAACACGACGUUUAGGAAUCACAAAAUCAGGUUAGGGAAUCGAAGGUCGAUGUACACACGUCAGCCAAAAUACCGAAUGAGACGGAAUAAUCUGGCGCCGACGAGAAGUCCCCGCCAGGCUUAAGAAAGUGUGUGAUUAGUUGAUGAGGUCCAGGUGUGCCACGUUGCAGUGCCCAGCUCCGCUCGCCACGCCCCGCACCUGUCUAAGAACCAAUGCCUGUGGAGCAAAUCAUAGAGCAACCGUGACAAUCCUCAUUUAAAGGGGAUCAAUAUUGGGUCAUGAUGUAGGACAGCUGGAGUGUGGCUAAUGUAUAAAUUGGACAUGCUAAUGUCUGCUCGCUUGAUGCUAAUUGUUAGCUACUUUUCAAUGUGUUAAUAUGGUGUAUGUGUUGUGCCAGAAGCCUAAACGGGUUGGACUAUUGUGUAGACUAUAUUAGCUUAAAGUGAAAUCUUAUGUCUUGGUACUGUAAGUCAUUCUGAAAUGAUGACUGUUUUAGUUGAGUAUAUUUAUUGCUCAUUGUUCAAAAAAACUACUGUACAUUUAUUACAUAAGGGAAUUAAUUGUUAUUAUUACAUCUAUUACAAUAGUACAUGCAUAGAAUAAAUACCACUGAAAUGGUUAUGUUUAACUAGCGUAGUCUAUUGUGCAGAAUGCUAACCUCAUUCAUUUAUUUGAAUGCAGGCUGAAAAUGCUGGCAAAAGUGGAAUAUGCGGGAGUCCAAAAAUACAUUAAAGUUCCUCAAACUGAUGAAAAUUUCAAUUUACUCCAGUUUCUUGAAGAAGCGACAGACAAAUUUAGUCUGCAGGCUCAACUUCUAUCCGAGGGUGUGUUAGCCUUGACUGAUACAUCAGAUACCGAGGUUGAUGCAGACACAUUUGAUGAGCUGAUAAAGUCAGGGGUCCGAAACUUCAAGGUUGGAUACCGCAAGUACCCAGUAACAGAGUUGGACAUUGAAUUGGUGGAAUACAACUCGCAGUCCUCCGUAUUGUCAGACUCCACAGCAUCACCAGUUUCAUUGCCAGGACCCCCCGCAUCACCAGCUUCUACAAGUUCAGAUUCGACAAUCAUCUUCCCAUCCACUAAAAUCCGGAAGAGAGGCCUGGUAGAGCUGGAUCGUAAUGAAGCAAGACAGGUAAACUUUGAAACUGUCUACAAAUGUACUGGAUUUUAAGAUUAUUAGAUUAAUUUAUAACAUUAUAUAGUGUUACUAAACUAAUGUAACAAAGCUUAGUACCCUAAUUAAAUAAUUACUUUGUUUAAACGUGAAGCUACUGGUUACUUAAAAAAAAAAAAAAAUUGCAGAAAGUGAUAGGCCUACUAUUCUGAGCUCCAACCCGAAAGGUGAGGAAAUCUUCAAAGAAUAUGACAAAACUAAGACGCUGUCAGACACAACACGCAGACAUAUGAUCAACAUUCUGGUUGCAGAAAUUACGGAUUCACAUGGGUAAGAAAUCCUUUCAAAUGACAGAGGAAAAACAUUGGUCUGCGCCCCUUGGUCUGCUCUGUAUGCGGAUUCCCCCCAGAAGUGUCAGGACUAGUUAUGCAUUCGGAAUUGUGAACCUUUUCCCAUAUCUACAAGAUCCGUACUCAAAGCAUGGAUAUGAACAUUACUAUGACCCUGAGGCGAAUACUGGCUAUCUUGCUUGGAGACUCAAGACAGUCCAACGCAACACGCACAAUGGCCUCCGUGGGCAUUCCAGGCCCAAUCCCCAGGUCAGGCCAACAACCCAACGAAAAUCUUUGUUGAUUGCUGAACAGCUCAAGGAUGAGGAGUGCAGAGAGGCCGUGUCUGCAAUAAGACACUCCACAGAUGAAUCCGUGGUCAAAGAGAAGAUGAGAGCCACCUUCGAAUACAGACAGAAGCUGGUUCAUGACCAGGAUGCAACAUCUUCGGUCUUUGACGUCUUCCCUCGUUUCCUUGGCAUACCCGGACUGGUAUCGCUUUCUAACAGUUUUGAGAUCCCAUUUUAACUUUUAUUAAUUAGUCUGUUUUUAGGAUCCCCUGCUGCUGUUUUGUACGGUUUUAGUUGUUCUGUUUAGCUGUGCUGUUUUGUUUUGGUUCCGUUUGCUAUUUUGUUUUGGUUGCUUUGGUUCAGUUUGCUUUUGUGUUAUUUCCCCUUUUCUGUUUCAUUGUUUGACCUUUGGGUUAAUGGGUUACAUAACCCCUGUUUUGCUGUUUGGUUUGGUUUGG